rnacentral:rRNA from 1 species
CCUACGGGAGGCAGCAGUGAGGAAUAUUGGUCAAUGGGCGCGAGCCUGAACCAGCAAAGUAGCGUGAAGGAUGACUGCCCUACGGGUGGUAAACUUCUUUUAUAAAGGAAUAAAGUGAGGCACGUGUGCCUUUUUGUAUGUACUGUAUGAAUAAGGAUCGGCUAACCCAGUGCCAGCAGCGGCGGUAAUACGGAGGAUCCGAGCGUUGUCCGGAUUGAUUGGGUUUAAAGGGAGCGUAGAUGGGUUGUUAAGUCAGUUGUGAAAGUUUGCGGCUCAACCGUAAAAUUGCAAUUGAAACUGGCAGUCUUGAGUACAGUUGAGGUAGGCGGAAUUCGUGGUGUAGCGGUGAAAUGCUUAGAUAUCACGAAGAACACCGAUUGCGAAGGCAGCCUGCUGGACUGUAACUGACGCUGAUGCUCGAAAGUGUGGGUAUCAAACAGGAUUAGAUACCCCAGUAGUC